rnacentral:rRNA from 1 species
GACGAACGCUGGCGGCGUGCCUAAUACAUGCAAGUAGAACGCUGAAGAGAGGAGCUUGCUCUUCUUGGAAGAGUUGCGAACGGGUGAGUAACGCGUAGGUAACCUGCCUUGUAGCGGGGGAUAACUAUUGGAAACGAUAGCUAAUACCGCAUAACAAUGGGUGACCCAUGUCAUUCAUUUGAAAGGGGCAACUGCUCCACUACAAGAUGGACCUGCGUUGUAUUAGCUAGUAGGUGAGGUAACGGCUCACCUAGGCGACGAUACAUAGCCGACCUGAGAGGGUGAUCGGCCACACUGGGACUGAGACACGGCCCAGACUCCUACGGGAGGCAGCAGUAGGGAAUCUUCGGCAAUGGGGGCAACCCUGACCGAGCAACGCCGCGUGAGUGAAGAAGGUUUUCGGAUCGUAAAGCUCUGUUGUAAGUCAAGAACGAGUGUGAGAGUGGAAAGUUCACACUGUGACGGUAGCUUACCAGAAAGGGACGGCUAACUACGUGCCAGCAGCCGCGGUAAUACGUAGGUCCCGAGCGUUGUCCGGAUUUAUUGGGCGUAAAGCGAGCGCAGGCGGUUUGAUAAGUCUGAAGUUAAAGGCUGUGGCUCAACCAUAGUUUGCUUUGGAAACUGUCAAACUUGAGUGCAGAAGGGGAGAGUGGAAUUCCAUGUGUAGCGGUGAAAUGCGUAGAUAUAUGGAGGAACACCGGUGGCGAAAGCGGCUCUCUGGUCUGUAACUGACGCUGAGGCUCGAAAGCGUGGGGAGCGAACAGG